AGUGAACGCUGGCGGUAGGCCUAACACAUGCAAGUCGAACGGCAGCACAAUAAGAGCUUGCUCUUACGGGUGGCGAGUGGCGGACGGGUGAGGAAUACAUCGGAAUCUACUUUUUCGUGGGGGAUAACGUAGGGAAACUUACGCUAAUACCGCAUACGACCUACGGGUGAAAGCAGGGGAUCUUCGGACCUUGCGCGAUUGAAUGAGCCGAUGUCGGAUUAGCUAGUUGGCGGGGUAAAGGCCCACCAAGGCGACGAUCCGUAGUUGGUCUGAGAGGAUGAUCAGCCACACUGGAACUGAGACACGGUCCAGACUCCUACGGGAGGCAGCAGUGGGGAAUAUUGGACAAUGGGCGCAAGCCUGAUCCAGCCAUACCGCGUGGGUGAAGAAGGCCUUCGGGUUGUAAAGCCCUUUUGUUGGGAAAGAAAAGCAGCAGGUUAAUACCCCGCUGUUCUGACGGUACCCAAAGAAUAAGCACCGGCUAACUUCGUG
rnacentral:rRNA from 1 species